rnacentral:misc_RNA from 1 species
GAUGAAGAACGCAGCGAAAUGCGAUAAGUAAUGUGAAUUGCAGAAUUCAGUGAAUCAUCGAAUCUUUGAACGCACAUUGCGCCCCUUGGUAUUCCGAGGGGCAUGCCUGUUCGAGCGUCAUUAUAACCCCUCAAGCUCAGCUUGGUGUUGGGGCCUGCUGCACUGGCAGCCCUUAAAAUCAGUGGCGGCGCCAUCUGGCUCUAAGCGUAGUAAUUCUUCUCGCUAUGGAGUCCUGGUGGAUGCUUGCCAUCAACCCCCAAUUUUUCUAUGGUUGACCUCGGAUCAGGUAGGGAUACCCACUGAACUUAAGCAUAUCAAUAAGCGGAGGA